GAAGAGCCAUCCAGGAGAGUGCUGGAGAAAGUUAGGAGCAUGCCUCCAUUGUGGGUCGAUGAAGGAUCAGGUUCAAGAUUGUCCCCAUUGAUAAGACCAGGUGCCAGUUACGGCAUAGACUUUAGGUUCAGGUCCUGUUGAGCCUUUAAUAGUAGUUUAGAAAUCACCUAGAGGUCAUGGUAUUGUCAGAAGAGGUAAUGGUUCUGGUAGGGGUUAGAUAGCACGGGUAGAGGCGCAAGUCAAAUGGAGGUACG
rnacentral:lncRNA from 1 species